rnacentral:rRNA from 1 species
UGGGGAAUUUUGGACAAUGGGGGCAACCCUGAUCCAGCCAUGCCGCGUGAGUGAAGAAGGCCUUCGGGUUGUAAAGCUCUUUCGGCCGGGAAGAAAUCGCCAUCUCUAAUAUAGGUGGUGGAUGACGGUACCGGAAUAAGAAGCACCGGCUAACUACGUGCCAGCAGCCGCGGUAAUACGUAGGGUGCGAGCGUUAAUCGGAAUUACUGGGCGUAAAGCGUGCGCAGGCGGUUUUUUAAGAUAGGCGUGAAAUCCCCGGGCUUAACCUGGGAACUGCGCUUAUGACUGGAAGACUAGAGUACGGCAGAGGGGGGUGGAAUUCCACGUGUAGCAGUGAAAUGCGUAGAGAUGUGGAGGAACACCGAUGGCGAAGGCAGCCCCCUGGGCCGAUACUGACGCUCAUGCACGAAAGCGUGGGGAGCAAACAGGAUUAGAUACCCUGGUAGUCCACGCCCUAAACGAUGUCAACUAGUUGUUGGGUGGGUAAAACCAUUUAGUAACGUAGCUAACGCGUGAAGUUGACCGCCUGGGGAGUACGGCCGCAAGGUUA